CUUGUGCUUGAUUUCAUCCAUCCUAUACGGAAGCCGACAGAGGCCCUUUUUGUAAUACUUUUUUAAUUCACCCUGUUAUCCCGAGAUAACGACAUAAUUAAUUCAGGAUCUCGAGAAAACAACACAACUAAUUCAAGAUCUCGAGAAAACAAAGCCUUUGUUUUGAGAUCUCAAGAAAACAAAACAAUUAUUUCAU